AUACGGAGGGUGCGAGCGUUAAUCGGAAUUACUGGGCGUAAAGCGCGCGUAGGCGGCUUUGUAAGUCGGAUGUGAAAGCCCUGGGCUCAACCUGGGAACUGCAUUCGAUACUGUCUGGCUAGAGUAUAGUAGAGGGAAGUGGAAUUCCGGGUGUAGCGGUGAAAUGCGUAGAUAUCCGGAGGAACACCAGUGGCGAAGGCGGCUUCCUGGACUAAUACUGACACUGAGGUACGAAAGCGUGGGGAGCAAACAGGAUUAGAAACCCCAGUAGUCC
rnacentral:rRNA from 1 species